AUGCGGCCUUUUACAUCCUGGGAGCGUCGAGUGCAGGUGGAGGUACGCGGUCGUGUUUUGUGCGCUGAGGUACUUGGGACAGAACUUCCCGGCCUAAUUUAAAAUGCAGGAGAUGCAGCCGUCUUGUAGUAGUAGAUCGACGUCAGCUGUGAAAACGUCUGGGUUCAAACGCCUGAGUGGACUUAAAUGUUCACUAGUUGGCGGGGCAGCCACGUGCAGCCGGGGGCGCCGAGGCGGAAUCCUAGUGCGUGUGGACCGUGGGCCCUCGGGCAAAAGUUAAAUGCAGCAGAUGAUGCCGGUGAAGAAGGUCGUUAGUUCCGCUGCGGGUGUCCUGUGGCCAUCUUGAAUCCGCUCCGGCGCUGUUAAAUAGUAACACCGCAUCCCGGUAACCCGCUGGUUGGAUCCAGGCGGAAGCUGAGCUUAAUUGUUCCCAUGGAUGAUGGAAAACAUAAGAAGAUGUCAAAUCCAAAGCGGUAUGGGUGAAGUCUUAAUCAGCGUCCUGCGGUACACUGCCAAACGUGGUUUUAAAUCUGGUACUUAAUUUAAUAAUAGUAUUUAAAUGGAGACUAAAUAAGUGCUUCCUUGCUAUAUAAAUAAAAUGCUUGAUUUGUACAGAUAAUCAAUGUUCUCUGACUGAAUGAUUAAUAAGU